CAGGGGCUAGGAGGCACGGAUUUUGGCUUAGCAAUAGGAGAAUCCCUCCCCGUAUGCCCUGUCUCCUGACCCAGGUGCAGGUGGUGAGAAGGGAGUGAUGGAGAGAUUCACAGACAAGGUGACUUCAGCUGGGUUUUGGAGGCUUGGCGCUCAAGAGAGAUGGCGUCAGGUGGAAGAGACAAAUGACUCUGCAUGGGGAAGCCAUGGAAGCUGGCAGAAUGGCCCAGACUGUGUGUGUUGGGGUCCCCAGCAGAGAGAGCUGCUGAGGGAGGGAUGUGAGCAUUGAGAGUUGAGGGCAGAGAGGUGGGCUGAGACUCGAUUGUGGAAAUGCUGAGCCAACCCGUACCCAUUUUCAGAGUGCCUCUGCCCCUUGCCCACUCCAGUGCACUAUUGGAAGCUUUGGCUUCCUUGAAUCUCUUCUUUGUGCUGCUGCAAGCCCAGGACACCCUCGUGCCCCUGCCUCCAACAUCACCUCUGCACUUUUUAUGACCUCUUUUGGCUCAACCUUCAAGCUGCUUAGCUGGGGGGUAAGAAAAUAAUUUUGAUUACCUGAUGAAGUCAGUGCUGCGGGCUGGGGCUGUUGGAGAGGCAGUGCCAUCCUCGGAUCCAUCACAGAUUGGGAGCCAGGGCCCGAUGCAUGUACUGACGUGUGGCUUCAGGUAAGUCAUUCAUCCUC
rnacentral:lncRNA from 10 species